UAUCCCAUUGAUUUGCUGCUAUUGUCUGUCAGUGACAUGAGCAGUUAUAAGCUUGGGAUAAAAUAUAUGAGACGCUUGCAAAUUGAGAUGCAAAUAAUCAUAUUCUCUCUUCUGCAUGGUCUGGGCAUUG
ensembl:snoRNA